UACGUAGGUGGCAAGCGUUGUCCGGAAUUAUUGGGCGUAAAGCGCGCGCAGGCGGUCCUUUAAGUCUGAUGUGAAAGCCCACGGCUCAACCGUGGAGGGUCAUUGGAAACUGGGGGACUUGAGUACAGAAGAGAAGAGUGGAAUUCCACGUGUAGCGGUGAAAUGCGUAGAGAUGUGGAGGAACACCAGUGGCGAAGGCGGCUCACUGGUCCGGUACUGACGCUGAGGUGCGAAAGCGUGGGGAGCAAACAGG
rnacentral:rRNA from 1 species